UCCCUGGUGGCUCAGAGGGUAAAGCAUCUGCCUGCAAUGCAGGAGACCAGGGUUCCAUCCCUGGGUCGGGAA
rfam:TPA: Bos taurus chromosome 21, whole genome shotgun sequence.